ensembl:lincRNA A430046D13Rik Riken cDNA A430046D13 gene
AUAACUCUGGCGGCGCGCCUCAUACUAGAGCUUGUGCAAGCAAGUGGACCAGAAAUAGCUCAGGGUAGAAGACUCCCAGCGGCGCCAUAGGAAGAAUGAGGCACAAGCCAAUUUUGUACCCUGAAACGGACAUUCCCCGGCUGGAAAAAGCUUGAGUAAAAAGAUGCUGAUCAGCUGGGCUGAAGAAUCAGCUGUGAUUCACUGAAGUCAAAUCUCCUGGGAAGUGUUUCCUCAGAAGCCGUGCUCCAGAGGUGGCCAAGGUUGAACCUCAUGCCGGCAGCCGAACUUGGUUGCGUAAGAGUGACCCAGCUGAUAACUGCUUUAAAGGUAUAAAGGGAUCAUGGAAAGCAGCUGAGGCUUGACCCUGUGUGGCAGGCCUGGAGUCCCUGAAAAGAGCCCAGGAGCGGUUAAAGGUGAAAGUGCAGCCCAGCUCCUGUAGAAGAGUCCAGCAUUUUGGAGAUGCCAGUACCAGGGGACAACCACCAAGAACAGCAGCAGGUGUGGAGUGGAGCCAGCCUGAGCCUAGAAGACAUGUUCUGUGUGCUACAGAGGACAGAGCCAGAGAAGUGACCAGGCCCUUUGAGAGACUUCCAGACAUUGGAGGCUGAGUCAUUUACUGUUGGAACUUGGUUUUGCUUUGCUCAGGCUAUGACUGUGGGCUGGUUCUUCUCUCUUGAGGUAAUAAAGUAACUUAUAUUUUAUUUUACAGGAGCAAAUUUGAAUAUUUUAAAGAGACUUUGGACUUUUACUAUUUGAAUUUUAUUUAUUUAUUUCAUGUAUGUGAGUACACUGUCGCUAUCUUCAGACACACCAGAAGAGGACAUCGGAUCCUCAUUACAGAUGGUUGUGAGCCACCAUGUGGUUGCUGGGAAUUGAACUCAGGAACUCUGGAAGAGCAGUCGGUGCUCUUAACCACUGAGCCAUCUCUCCAGCCCCACUAUUUGAAUUUUUUAAAGAUUUAUUUAUUUUUAUGUGCACUCGUGUCAGUGCUGGGAAUUGAACCCAGGUCCUCUGGAAGGACAUCCAGUGCUCUUAACCACAGAGCCAUCUCUCUAGCCCUACUGUUUACAUUUUUAAAUUCUAUGGGACGUUUAAAUUUGGGGAUGUUUUAGACUGUGGUGUCAAUAUUAAUGUGUGAUCUUGGGACUGAACAGAAAGGAAAGGUUAAGGCUUAAUACUGAAGCGAUGUGUCUGUGUGUCAAGCUGACAAGGGGUCAGUUAUUCUUGGUAGCCUGAUGUCACCUUGAUACACAGGCUAGAGUCAUCUGAGAGAUGGGAACCUCAAUUGAGAGGAAUGAGAUCAGGUUGUAGGGCGUUUCCUUCACUAGCGGUUGAAGGUGUAGCCAUCCCUGGGCUGAUGGUCCUGGGUUCUGUAAGAAAGCAGACUGAGCAAGCCAGUGAGCAGCGCUCUCCAUGGCCUCUGCAUCAGCUCCUGCCUCCAGGUUCCUGCCCUGCUGGCGUCCCUGUCGUGACUUCCCUCAGUGACGGACUGUUACCUGGAAGUAUAAGCAACAUAAACCUUUUCCUUCCCGACUUGAUGUCGGGCAUGGUGUUUUGUCACAUCAAUAAAAAUCCCAGGACAACAACUAACCCACAAUAAAAAGGAGGAUAAUGAAGAGGCCUUAUACACAACUUACAAAGCCUUUCUUAGGCCAUUUUUAUAGACUGGUGUGAGGCAUGGGGUAUAAAUAGAAAAGUUGGUUUUAACAAGUAAAGCUGGUUUCCUAUUGCAGUUAACUAAGGCGGAGGUCACAGACUUCGCUGUUGUUUUAAAAUCUCCUAGGAACUUCUUAUAACAACAAACUUGUAGAUUGCUCCUCUGUCUGUGUUAGGGCCUGGAAAUCUUGUUUCACAUAGAUAAUGUAAUCUAAGCUUUAAUAACAGUCAUCAUUUCAAAAG